GGAGCCCAGAAACCAUCUUUCCUGCCCGCCCAACUUAACAGCCCUGAUUUUCUUGGGCCUCACGCCAGUCCCAGAACUGGUCCCAUGCCUAGCCAAUCAGACGUGGUCACUCCUAGUCUCAGUGGUGGUUGAGAGAGGGCACGUGACCCAUCAGAAUCAGUAAGAGUUUGUUCCGGGACUUUUCUGAAACUGUUAGAAAGAGGAACUUUUUCCACUGAGAUGGCUGAGAGGAGGGGAUGAAAGCAGAAGCAGGUGGCAGCCACCUUGGCACCAUGAGUUCCAGAAAAGACUGGACCGUGGUUCUUUGUCCCCAACAAUCACAAGCAAAUGUGUCUCCCAAGAUCAAAGUUGGGGCUGCUUCCGGAAGUGUACGGGGAGGAGACAGAGCUGUUCUCCCUGCAGUAUGUGCCCCGCGGAGGGAAGGCGCUCACAAGCACAAACCCAUCUCGGGAGAACAAGCAGACCUCUCGCCAGUCAAAAAACAAAAUAAGCCAUGCACCAUCCGGGGCUGGUCACCAGCUGAUUUUCUCAGAUCAGCACUUAAAGGCUCCCUCUGCCUGGCUGAGGCUGCAGAUCUUCAAGUCUAAAAACUGUGGCCCGUCCAUUAGGUGACUCAGACUGAGGGCAAUUUAUUCAAGCAAAGAAUCGCUGAGGAUGGCAGAGUCUCCCUGUUUGAAUGUGUCAGUAUGUCAGAAAUACAGCCCUGAAUCAGACAAGAAGCCGUGCUACACCGGACCGGCCAGUGCCUGGAAAACAGCAGGUCACCACAUGGGGGACCAGCCAGUUCCCUGGCCAGUUCACUCACCUAAGCCUCAAUUACUUUGCCUGUCAGCAGAGAAAGGUGGCCUGUCCCCUUCACAGAGGCGUCCCCAGAACCAAACGAGCAACACAGAUGGACCUGGAGAAUGUCAUUCUAAGAGAGGUGUUACAGCAGUGACCCAUGAAAACAGAAGCUCUCUGAAGUGCUCAGUGAGGACAAGAGUGUCAAGGGAACCCAGCGGGGUGGCACCAACCACACCCUUCCCCUCGGGUGCCCUGCAAAGGCCCUGCUCCCAGGGGAAACCCCAGGAUGUUUUCAGUGACAGCUAAGCAGGCAUCCUUCCCUUCUCGGCCUUUUUUGACUCCUUCUGA